ACAUGCCUACAACAUAGUGUUAAUGCAUCGUAUCCCAUUAGAACUCUGUAGUUAAGUGUGCUCGGGCUAGAGUAGUACUAGGAUGGGUGACUGCCCAAGAAUUCCUAGUGUUUUACAUGCC
rnacentral:rRNA from 1 species